GGAAUAUUGGACAAUGGGCGCAAGCCUGAUCCAGCCAUGCCGCGUGCAGGAUGACGGUCCUAUGGAUUGUAAACUGCUUUUGCACAGGAAGAAACAUCCCGACGUGUCGGGACUUGACGGUACUGUGAGAAUAAGGAUCGGCUAACUCCGUGCCAGCAGCCGCGGUAAUACGGAGGAUCCAAGCGUUAUCCGGAAUCAUUGGGUUUAAAGGGUCCGUAGGCGGUUUAGUAAGUCAGUGGUGAAAGCCCAUCGCUCAACGGUGGAACGGCCAUUGAUACUGCUAAACUUGAAUUAUUAGGAAGUAACUAGAAUAUGUAGUGUAGCGGUGAAAUGCUUAGAGAUUACAUGGAAUACCAAUUGCGAAGGCAGGUUACUACUAAUGGAUUGACGCUGAUGGACGAAAGCGUGGGUAGCGAACAGGAUUAGAUACCCCGG
rnacentral:rRNA from 1 species